GCAUCAUGGCCACAAGCAUAGCAAGCAUCAAGUUCAACAAAAAGGGAUAUUUCAAGCGAAUCCAAGGGAUCAUAGCAAUCAACAUAGCAUUCAUCCUUCGGUAAGGACGAAGGGAAAUUAAACAAUGUAUGAGUUGAAGAGUUACUCUCAUUAGAAGGUGGGCACGGGUAGCUAGGCCGCUCUUCCUCCUUUUGUUCUUCGCUCUCCUCGACAUCUUUUUCAUCUAAUG
rnacentral:lncRNA from 1 species